ensembl:lncRNA
GUCAGAUUUGACUACUGAGUCUGUACAUGCAGUUUUUAUGUUUUGGGGAGAAUGUCCUGUAGAUAAUUCUUCAAAAAUAACUACCAAAACAGCGUUUCGUGAUGGCUGACGAGUGCAGCUGUGGUGUCAGAGAUAAGUCCAUCUUGUGGAGAUAACAGCUUAGUUUCACUAUGUCGUGUUCAAAAGAUCACAACUUCCAGCACCUUCAACACUCCCUCACAUCCAGACCUUAAAGGAUCCAUUAAGGUUUUCUGAACCCGCAGAGAGAAUGGGAAUGGCGUUCGUCUGAUGAUACAAACUGUUGACUUGCUCCAUAGUGGCGACAUGUAUCACAGUGACCUGUGGAUAGACAUUUGAUAGACAGUCACCAUGGGGACUGAUGUAACUGAUCCACUGUGACUUUCACUUCCAGAAAAUGAAACAGUUGUUAAUUCCUGACUAGAAGAACAUCUGGAAGCCACUGAACAUCUGUUUCUCCCCCCUGAGCUUUAAAAUAUGAGCAAAACAGAAACAGGCCUUCAAGUGAGGAGCAGUGGCGGUUGAAUGGCUGUGAUUAUUAUCAGGUGUUAAUGACAUGAAAAGAGAUGUGCUGCCACCUGUUGGCUGUAGUUUGUCACUGAAGCUGUGGUGACAUUACAUUAGAUUAUAUUCUGUUAUUCUCAUGAAUGAAUUCACUUUAAAACAUAUUCUACAAAAAAUGGUUUGUGCAUGACAGAAAUAAAUAAUACUAACAUCUACUCUUGGGAGCUUUAUUAUGCACACUGUUACACUUGACCUCAUAAAAUUCA